AUAGGAGUAGUUAAAUAAUAACUUUGGAUUUGCGUUCUUGAAUUGGGAAAUUUUCUCCUUCUAUA
rnacentral:tRNA from 1 species